rnacentral:rRNA from 1 species
AGUGAACGCUGGCGGUAGGCCUAACACAUGCAAGUCGAACGGCAGCACAGUAAGAGCUUGCUCUUACGGGUGGCGAGUGGCGGACGGGUGAGGUAUACACCGGAAUCUACUUUUUCGUGGUGGAUAACGCAGGGAAACUUACGCUAAUACCGCAUACGACCUACGGCAGUAAGCAGGGGAUCUUCGGACCUUUCGCGAUUGAAUGAGCCGGUGUCGGGUUAUCUAGUUGGCGGGGUAAAGGCCCACCAAGGCGACGAUCCGUAGCUGGUCUGAGAGGAUGAUCAGCCACACUGGAACUGAGACACGGUCCAGACUCCUACGGGAGGCAGCAGUGGGGAAUAUUGGACAAUGGGCGCAAGCCUGAUCCAGCCAUACCGCGUGGGUGAAGAAGUCCUUCGGGUUGUAAAGCCCUUUUGUUGGGAAAGAAAAGCAGCAGGUUAAUACCCCGCUGUUCUGACGGUACCCAAAGAAUAAGCACCGGCUAACUUCGUG